GCCGCUCCCGGGACCCGCUGGGGCAGGGCGCGCGAACUUCCCGUGGGGCCCGGGCGCGGGCGCUACGCCUCGGGGCUGGUCCUCUUGGGGCCUGGUCCCUGCGGACGGCCCCCUAGCUUCCCUGGAAGAGACUGGUCCCCUGGGUAAGCGCCAGGGCCCUUCUAGGACAGGACGAGAUGGAUGAUAGUCUUUUUUGCAGCCUUUUAAAAAUCAAUAAAGUGACCCGGCCUUCCCUCUUUGCUGCCUUUUGAAAACAGCGAGGAGGACAUAUGGGAGCAAUUAACCGAUCUGAAGUUUCAGUGAAUGCCUUAGGUUGGCCUGUGUGGCUUUCUUGGAUUUUUCUCUCCCUCACUUAACUGUACAGACACACAAACACUCAUUUUCUGGGGACAAAAUGAGCUAAGAGAAAUGGAAAGUAUAAAAAUGCAACUCGACAGCUGGGUCUUUUUCUUUCCCAAAAGCAAAUUGGGGACGUUCGGGGAUCAGUUAUUACCCCAGAGACCCGGGAGACCCUGGAGCGGAGUCUGCAGCCCUCCUUCUACCUCCCCUGGCUGCCUUGCUGUCCACACUAGGUCCACCAAGGGCCAACUUCGUGAAGUCGGCGGGAGGAGGGAGUCAUGGAAGGGGAGAACAGACAAUGAUGCUAUUAUUGUGUCGGAUGGUGGCAGUAAAUUAAACUCCCAAAAUAUUUUGUUAUUCCCAGCAGAGCAAAAGUCAAAAUAUGGCCUAGGGAUUCCGGAGUCCUGUGUUCUCCGGAUCCUACCAACCAAUUCAGCUCGGAGGACCCAGUCCACUCUAUCCCCAAAGCCCUUUGGGUUAGCCUUUCUUACAGAAGAGUCAACUAGAAUCGCUGCUGCAUUGUGUGGCUGGAGAGAAUGACACGCUGGUCUCCCAUUGGUGUGCCUGGAGCAGAGAAUACAGAAGUUGCUAUAAAUGGAUUUAUUGGCAACCCCUACCCUUGCUGCUGCAAACCCGCCUUUAAAGACAACUGUGUUUUAAACAAGUUUCCCCCCAUAAAAACUUCAACCUCACGCAGAGCUUCCCAAUAUAAAGAUACCAGCAGGAGUGGUGUCCAUAUAUAAAGUUCUUAUGGAAAGGGACAGGAAGCAAAAGGCCACACAACC
rnacentral:lncRNA from 1 species